UAAAGUAAGACCGCGAAUGGCUCAGUAAAUCAGUUGCAGUUUAUUUGAUGUUUGACAAUCACAGUAAUGGAUAACUGUGGUAAUUCCAGAGCUAAUACAUGCAAAAUUGUCGCCCGAAUCGCUUCGGCGAGGAAGACGACGCACUUGUCUGAGAGAUAAAACCCGACGUAUUGAAAAAGUUGAUGCAGGACAAUUAGAAAUGAUCGCACGUGCCCAGAGCACGGCGACGCAUCAUUCAAGUGCCUGCUCUAUCAACUGUUGAUGGUCGGCUAUGAGCUUACCAUGGUGGUAACGGGUGACGGGGAAUCAGGGUUCGAUUCCGGAGAGGGAGCCUGAGAAAUUGCUACCACAUCCAAGGAAGGCAGCAGGCGCGCAAAUUACCCACUCCCGGCACGGGGAGGUAGUGACGAAGCAUACCGAUGCGGGACUCCCAUCCGAGGCCCCGUGAUCGGAUUGAGACGGGUACAGAGAACCCGAAAAGCAUACUGGGAGGGCAAGUCUGGUGCCAGCAGCCGCGGUAAUUCCAGCUCCAGUAGCGUAUGCUAAUGUUGUGGAGGUUAAAAAGCUCGUAGUCUGAAUUGUGUCUAGCGCUGCGGGUCCACAGCAUGUCUGUGCUGACUGCGUAUGUCGCCUAGACUUCAUGGCUGGUAGCGGAGGAGGCUCGGUACGGGGUAAGGGCUUGGUUCCUUCGGGUUAAUCAUGUUCCUCCCUUCCGUAGCUCGAAUCCGCAACUUCAGGUCCCGACCUGGUGCUCUUGACCGAGUGCCUUGGAGGGCCAGCACUCUUACUUUGAACAAACUCGAGUGCUCAAAGCAGGCCUUCCGGCCUUGUCGCUGUGUGCAUGGAAUAACAGAAUAGGACUUCGGUUCUAUUUUUUGUUGGGUUCUUAAGAACCGAGGUAAUGAUCAACAGGAGCAGUCGGGGGCAUCCGUAUUGCAGGGUUAGAGGUGAAAUUCUUGGAUCCUUGCAAGACGAACUAAAGCGAAAGCAUUUGCCAAGGAUGCUUUCAUUGAUCAAGAGCGAAAGUUUGACGGAAGGGCACCACCAGGAGUGGAGCCUGCGGCUUAAUUUGACUCAACACGGGGAAACUUACCAGGGCAGGACAACAGCAGGAUUGACAGAAUGAAGAUCUUUCUUGAUUUUUUGGGUGGUGGUGCAUGGCCGUUCCUAGUUGGUGAGGCGGCUUGUCUGGUUUAUUCCGAUAACGAACGAGAUCCUGCAUUGCUAAAUAGACCUGAUGGUAUCCCUUCGGGGCUACAUAUGGAAAACAAACCUUCUUAGAGUGAACAACUGCCUAGAGCAGCAUGAAAAUGGGCUAUAACAGGUCUGAGAUGCCCUUAGAUGUCUUGGGCCGCACGCGUGCUACAAUGAAGGAGGAAGAGAGCACGCUCCAGGGCCGUGAGGUUAUGGUAAUCCCCAAAUUUCUUCGUGAAGGGGAUAGGGGUUUGAAAUUAACCCCUUGAACUAGGAAUUCCCAGUAGGCGCAAGUCAAGAGCUUGCGUCGAUUGAGUCCCUGCCCUUUGUCCACACCGCCCGUCGCUACUACCGAUUGAAUGGUCUAGUGAGAUCUCCGGACCGGAGCUCAAGAUCCAAAAGGUCUUGGCAUCCCGGGAGGCUGAUCGAACUUGCUCGUUUAGAGGAAGUAAAAGUCGUAACAAGGUUACCGUAGGUGAA
rnacentral:rRNA from 2 species